GAGUCCAAUCAUAUCAGCACUAAUGCAUCGAGUCCCAUCAGAACUCUGAAGUUAAACUCGUUUGGUGAGAAUAGUACGAGGAUGGAUGACCUUCUAGGAAGUCCUCGCGGUGCACCCA
rnacentral:rRNA from 1 species